UCGACAGCCCUGAAUGCCCUGUUUUGCCAGAGAACAGGUACAGCAUGGGCGGCAGCAGUGAAAGCUUCCUUCAUACAGUACCCUCCAGCGUGCCUCAGCCCUGUCAUGGAGGGACCACUAGAGAGGAGAAGGGGGUUUGGUGUCCAUGAGCUCUGUGUGGCUCGAAAGCUUGUUUCU
rnacentral:sRNA from 1 species